rnacentral:lncRNA from 1 species
CUUGCACACUGUACCUCCUCCUUAUCCACCAUGCCGCACAGUCUCUUGGCCGGUUGUGGGCGUCGGGGGUGAGCUGGGUCGUGCACCGCCGGCCCUGGCAGCGGCGCCAGCGAUGACUGCUUCGGCCACCAGAGCAGCAACGCUGCAAAGCCGCGCCGCUCGACACCACCCUUUCAUUCUGAGAGCCCCGCAUGGCCGUCCCCCAACCUGCGCACAAUGUUUCUCAUCGCCAUGCUUUGGACAGCAUAGAGCGCACUCUCUACAGCCGCAACACCCGUGAAGUCCCACUCCAUCAAGAGAUUACCUCCUCGUGUAAUUACUCGGGGCUAGUGGUGAAAUAGAACCCCCGGAGACUGUUGUAGCUAGUCCAAGCACUGUAAGUACCUACCAAACCUCUGGCUUGCCGUAAUCGGCCCCGGAAUCGACCCAGUUUCGGCACCCCUCUCGCCCGCCUAUAAUUAGAGCCCCCGAAGUCCUUCUACAGC